AUUGAACGCUGGCGGCAUGCCUUACACAUGCAAGUCGAACGCGAAAGCGGGGGCAACCCUGCAAGUAGAGUGGCGAACGGGUGAGUAACACAUCGGAACGUACCCAGGAGUGGGGGACAACCUCGAGAAAUCGAGGCUAAUACCGCAUACGUCCUGAGGGAGAAAGCGGGGGAUCGCAAGACCUCGCGCUCAUGGAGCGGCCGAUGUCCGAUUAGCUAGUUGGCGGGGUAAUAGGCAACCAAGGCGACGAUCGGUAGCUGGUUUGAGAGAACGACCAGCCACACUGGGACUGAGACACGGCCCAGACUCCUACGGGAGGCAGCAGUGGGGAAUUUUGGACAAUGGGGGCAACCCUGAUCCAGCCAUGCCGCGUGAGUGAAGAAGGCCUUCGGGUUGUAAAGCUCUUUCGGCCGGAACGAAAUCGGGUACGUGAAUAACGGAUCUGGAUGACGGUACUGGAAGAAGAAGCACCGGCUAACUACGUGCCAGCCGCCGCGGUAA
rnacentral:rRNA from 1 species